rnacentral:rRNA from 1 species
CUUGCACGCUGGCGGCAUGCUUUACACAUGCAAGUCGAACGGUAACAGGCCGCAAGGUGCUGACGAGUGGCGAACGGGUGAGUAAUGCAUCGGAACGUGCCCAGUCGUGGGGGAUAACUACUCGAAAGAGUAGCUAAUACCGCAUACGAUCUAUGGAUGAAAGCGGGGGACCGUAAGGCCUCGCGCGAUUGGAGCGGCCGAUGUCAGAUUAGGUAGUUGGUGGGGUAAAGGCUCACCAAGCCAACGAUCUGUAGCUGGUCUGAGAGGACGACCAGCCACACUGGGACUGAGACACGGCCCAGACUCCUACGGGAGGCAGCAGUGGGGAAUUUUGGACAAUGGGCGCAAGCCUGAUCCAGCAAUGCCGCGUGCAGGAAGAAGGCCUUCGGGUUGUAAACUGCUUUUGUACGGAACGAAACGGCUCUGGUUAAUACCCGGGGCUAAUGACGGUACCGUAAGAAUAAGCACCGGCUAACUACGUG